rnacentral:tRNA from 1 species
GCCUUUAUAGCUCAGAGGUAGAGCACCACACUUGUAAUGUGGGGGUCUCUGGUUCAAUUCCAGAUGAGGGUA